AUUUGCUCGAGACUGGACUUGAACCAGCACGGUGUUACCCGACAGCACCUCAAGCUGUUGUGUCUACCUAUUCCACCACCCGAGC
rnacentral:tRNA from 1 species